rnacentral:rRNA from 1 species
UACGUAGGCAGCAAGCGUUGUUCGGAUUUACUGGGCGUAAAGGGCGCGUAGGCGGCCAGCACAAGUCAGUUGUGAAAUCUCCGAGCUUAACUCGGAAAGGUCAACUGAUACUGUGCGGCUAGAGUGCGGAAGGGGCAACUGGAAUUCUUGGUGUAGCGGUGAAAUGCGUAGAUAUCAAGAGGAACACCUGCGGCGAAGGCGGGUUGCUGGGCCGACACUGACGCUGAGGCGCGAAAGCCAGGGGAGCGAACGGG